rnacentral:pre_miRNA from 1 species
CAAUUGAUCACCUGGGGACCUUGUUAAAAUGCAAAUUCCGAUUCAAUAGGUUUGGGGUGGGGGCCAGAGUUUGCAUUUCUAACCAGCUCCCAGGUAAUCCUGAA